CCUGCUGCAAUCAUGGCUUCUGCUCUGUAUUUGGUGAAUGCAAUCGUUUGCCAUCUGGGAAGCGGCUGUGUAUUUGUUCCCCCUGGCUAAUCGGGCUCGUCUCUUGUAUUCAUUACUUACUUGAAUGGUCUGUAAUUUGAAAUGACCGCAUACGGUUCUUGUGGCUGAGAAGAUGUAAAUGCCUAUGGAGACAGUCCAGGGGGCAAACUAGGCUGACUUCAGCUCUUCAUGGUGGCAUUUAUGAUCAUCUGAAGAAGCUGGGAACAUGUAAUACAGCAUGUGAAAGUAGUUUUUGGUGGCAGAUAAGGCUGACUUCAGCUCUUCAUGGUGGCAGACUAGGCUGACUUCAGCUCUUCGUGUCUUUUGUAGGUGGCAUUUAUGAUCUGAAGAAGCUGGAUUCUGGAAACGUGACUCUGCAUGUGAAAGUAUCUUUUUGGUUCCCAUCAAGAUUCUUAACCUAAUCAAGGUUAAUAUUGAGCUUGAUGUCUUUAAGGGCGAAGGAACAUCAGGUGGCAUUCAUGGUCAGAAUAAAAUGCACUUUAUUUCAAAAACCUGGAAGAUGUCAAAUCUGCAUUAUCUACAACAGUUUUUACUUGUGGCAAACUUUUUUUAUUUAAAGGAUAUUUGAAAAUAGAAAAUAGACACAUUUUUAAUAAAUCUUUAUUAAAAAGGC